AUACUUAUCUGGCAGGGGAGAUACCAUGAUCACGAAGGCCGUUUUCCCAGAGCGAGGCUUAUCCAUUGCGCUCCAGAUGUUAACCCCUGCAAUUUCCCCAAAUGUGGAAAACUCGACUGCAUAAUCUGUGGUAGUAGGGGACUGCAUAUAUACUCUCCCCUG